rnacentral:rRNA from 1 species
UACGGAGGGUGCGAGCGUUGUUCGGAAUCACUGGGCGUAAAGCGCGUGUAGGCGGCCUCCUAAGUCUGGUGUGAAAGCCCGGGGCUUACCCCCGGAAGUGCAUUGGAUACUGGGAGGCUGGAGUACCGGAGAGGAGGGUGGAAUUCCUGGUGUAGCGGUGAAAUGCGUAGAUAUCAGGAGGAACACCGGUGGCGAAGGCGGCCCUCUGGACGGAUACUGACGCUGAGACGCGACAGCGUGGGGAGCAAACAGG